rnacentral:rRNA from 1 species
GAUGAACGCUGGCGGCGUGCUUAACACAUGCAAGUCGAACGAGAAAUGGAGACGGAAACCUUCGGGCGGAAGGCUUCAUUUCGAGUGGCGGACGGGUGAGUAACGCGUGGGUAACCUGCCUCAUACAGGGGGAUAACAGUUGGAAACGACUGUUAAUACCGCAUAAGACCACAGCACCGCAUGGUGCGGGGGUAAAAACUCCGGUGGUAUGAGAUGGACCCGCGUUCGAUUAGCCAGUUGGCGGGGUAACGGCCCACCAAAGCGACGAUCGAUAGCCGAUCUGAGAGGAUGACCGGCCACAUUGGGACUGAGACACGGCCCAAACUCCUACGGGAGGCAGCAGUGGGGAAUAUUGCACAAUGGGGGAAACCCUGAUGCAGCGACGCCGCGUGAGUGAAGAAGUACUUCGGUAUGUAAAGCUCCAUCAGCAGGGAAGAAAAUGACGGUACCUGAGUAAGAAGCCCCGGCUAACUACGUG